GUAGAUUGAGAAAGUAAAUUCAUUCAAUUUUUCAUUGUUUAUUUCAUUUUUUUAGUUAAGUUCAACUCCACAAACACCAACACAUUAUUAUAUCAUCUUUUAGUACCUCUCCAUUCCA
rnacentral:ribozyme from 12 species